CGUCAACACGCUCGUGCGUGCACACAACUUUGUGCUGCCAACUUUCGGCAGAGUACAUCUGAGGUUUUUGUUUGUACCUGAAAUUUAACCACUUCAGCUCAGUUAUACUGUGUUCAGGGGAAACCUGGAGCCAGUGAACCAGUACACUGCCAAUGAUGAGGCACGGAGGGCCAUCUCCGCCAUU